UUUGUUGAUAUACAGAUAAAACAAAAACAGAUAGAUGAGAUUGAGAAUUAGAGACAAAAAAAAAAAAAAAAUCUAUGGACACUAUAUGAAAAUCUAUGGUGGCAACGAGUGAAUUAGUGUAGGUUAGUUAUUAUUUUAGUUAUCUUUUGUUAUUUAAAUCCCAUUAAUUAGUCUAAUCCCUCAUAAUCUAAUUUGUAGUUGUACGGUACGAACAAGAUGUUGGUUUCUUAUCCUUUUAAAGGUAACUACUGUGAAUCACAUCAUCAUGAUCAUGACUCAUGAGUCAUAAGUUUUAUGCACUUGUGUUGUGUUAUGUAUAGAGAUAGGAA
rnacentral:lncRNA from 1 species